rnacentral:rRNA from 1 species
UACGAAGGGGGCUAGCGUUGCUCGGAAUCACUGGGCGUAAAGCGCACGCAGGCGGAUCGUUAAGUCAGGGGUGAAAUGCCGAGGCUCAACCUCGGAACUGCCUUUGAUACUGGCGAUCUUAGAGUCCGGGAGAGGUGAGUGGAACUCCGAGUGUAGAGGUGAAAAUUCGUAGAUAUUCGGAAAGAACACCAGUGGCGAAGGCGGCUCACUGGCCCGGUACUGACGCUCAGGUGCGAAAGCGUGGGGAGCAAACAGGG